AUAACCCAGGCAACCAAGUGACGUCAACAACGUCGAGGAAACGUCAGUAUUUGGUGGAAUAUAUACACGUAGUUGAACAUUACGUCAUAUCGACGUCUUUUGUAGGUGAUUUUAAAUACGUAAGAUUAAUGACGUUAAAAUACGUUUAAAAGACGUUUUCAUUUCAGCCAGCCUAAGUCUGACGUCACGAAAUUGGGAGGAGCUUGGAGCUUAAAAGUUACAAAACUAGGGUUAUGUUUGUAUCAUCGUUGUCGUUUCAUUUCAUUGUUUGUUUGUCCUAGUAUUUUGCCUUUUUUGGAUUCAUUUGGAUUUUGUUGGCUGUUUUGUGUGUAUUUUUUAAAACUUCUGUUUGUCAUUUGUAAAUUUUAUAAAUUUACCACAAUGCAAAGUGAUUAUUUAAGGAAAUUAUUAAUGGAAACUCCGCAGAUGUUUUAGAAAGAUAUUCAUUGAAGCUGAAAAUAAUUGGAGAUUUAGAUCCAUAUACAAUUCAGUCAUCAGAAUUGGAUUUUACAGUGCAUUCCUUCAAUUACUGUUAUAAUGCUAUUAUAGAUAGACUGCUAGAGUCUCACAGUUACUGCUUUAAGCAGCAGAUGAAAGCAUACAAAAGCCUUCAGGCACAUAAAAGCCUUCACAACUGGAUUUGUUUUGAAACAUUGAUGUUUUGAUGAUUUCUAUAUUAUUGUUGGAAAGGUGAAAAAUUCCCAAAAAGCUAAUGCUAAACCGCUAGAUCUUCAGUGAAUAGCCAGUUCCAAUGGCAUAGCAAAUGCACAUUGUAUGUGUAUGGCCAGUAAUAGUGAAAUUUGCAGCCAUAUUGCAGCAAUCUUAUUUGCAGCUGAGUAUGCCCACAGCAAGACAGAAGAAGAAGAACCCAAUGCAUGUACAGAUGUUACAGCUAUGUACAUUCUCUGGUGAAAAACUAAUGAGUUUUCAAGCUGUUCGGUCAGAGUGCUUGUUGCGCUCUCUAAACGAACUGAUAUAUAAGACGGCUUUGGCUUCAUGUUGCAGUGAUAUGAAAAUGGUUAGUCAUUUUUAAUUAUAAUGUACUUCUUCAUCAUGAGUAUUUAUGUAUAGGGCUUUUCAUUCACAGUCAUUUGUUUCGAGCUUCUGUCAUGUGUCACAUAAUAUUAAUAUUAUAUCUACGUCAUACGUUACUGGUAUAUAUCAAUGAUACACACCAAAGACAUAUGGCAUAGAUAUAUUAAUAUUAUGUGACACAUGACAGAUGCUCGAAACAAAUGACAGUCGAUAAAAAGCCCUAUUAGUCUUUUAAGUGUGUAUUAUCAGAUAUCACAUGUAAAUUGUUUUUAUCAUGUUAAUUUGGUCAUUACAGUCCCUUAAUCAAAAAAUAUAUUUUUCAGGUGUC